CAUAUAUCUGUAUCUCGUAAUUCACGUUUGUGACAAUGUCUUUGACUCUUUGUGCUAUGCUACGCGUACAAUACAUUGGCAGAUUACGGACAUCCCAGGCCUGAAGCAGUACUGGAGCAACAUCAAGUGCCCCAGCAACAACGGCCAGGGCGGCUGGAAGAACGCCUGGAAGAUGUCCGGCGCCUGCUCCGGCCUCAAGGAGAAGGACUUCUUCGAGAAAGCCCUCGAGUUCCGCAGCCGGCUCAACCCUCUCGUUCGCCUCCAGAAAAACGGUACGUGAACAUAUAUAGAACUGAGUUUCAUGCACGAGUGUUCGAAAUCGGAUGACCACCAAAUGACACAUGCGUACUGUUUUUGAUGGCUUAUUAUGAUUAAUUUGCAGGUAUCCAGCCGGACUUCGAGCUGUACAGCUUGAAGAAGAUCAAGAAGGUGUUCCAGUCGGGCAUCAACGCGACGCCGCUGGUCCAGUGCAGCAUGGGCCCCUUCAACAAGUACAUGCUGUACAAGCUCUACUUCUGCGCGACGGAGCAGGGCACGUUCAUCGACUGCCCCGUGGCGCCCAAGUACACCUGCUCGGCGGAGAUCCUCUUCCACCCUUUCAAGAGGUGGAUGCUCCAGCAGCUCCAGGGGGAGGACGCCGAGUUUGCCGCCGCGGCCGACGGCGACGACCAGGACGCCUUCGUGCUGCCCGGCGUGGCCAUGGAUAUAUAACCGAUGGAUCGAUCGGAAGCAUAUGCGUGUCGUCGAGGAGAGACCCCACCUGAUCUCCGAUCCAUCCAGAUCGUCUUUCAAUUCGUGAGUUUGCGUUUCGGUGGCGUACGCGUGCAUGGAAUAAUGUCGUUGUUCCUGCUCCCCCGAGCAAACAACAACGCAGUGUAGUAAUAUGUGAAAAUAAUUAAACACUGAGACGUACGAAGACAAUAAUGGUACGGUGAUCUCCUCCUCUUCUACGACGAGUUCCUUCUAUUCCUACUCAUCAGGGAAGAUGUGGCCGUGUUUAUCUAGCUCUUCUGCUUUGCGCCGCCUCACCAAGCUCACUGCCCGCAGCGUCGCCGCAUGGCCACAUCCCACAUCUUAAAUUCGGUGGUUCAAUAACAUAAAUAUGGUCCCCUGGUCCCGCAAAAUUACGUUGACUGCCGCUUAAAUUCUACGUUGAUUUGCAUCAAUAUUCUUCAUGCUGUGUUAUAUAUUAUAAAAGAGAUCCUUCCUAAUCAAGUGACAAUUUGCUGU
rnacentral:lncRNA from 1 species